rnacentral:misc_RNA from 1 species
GGCAAACUGAUGACCAGUUACAUUUUAUGGUAGAUUCAGUUGAUGGGGAGGAUGGUUUGGGAGCUAAAAGAAGUAGAAGAUCAAGCCAACCGUCUGACGGUGCGGAUAUUGGCAACUCUAUGAUCCCAAGGUCACCUUCUCAACCACUUGCUGAGAGAAUGCUUAGGGCAUUGGCAAUGUUUAAAGAGUCAUCUGCUGCAGGAAUUUUG